AGAGUUUGAUCAUGGCUCAGGAUGAACGCUAGCGGCAGGCCUAUACAUGCAAGUCGAACGCUCAGUAGCAAUACUGGGAGUGGCGCACGGGUGCGUAACGCGUACACAAUCUACCUCUAAGCGGGGGACACCUCCUGGAAACGGGGAUUAAUACCGCAUAAUAUGCCGAGGUCGCAUGACUUUGGUAUUAAAGCAGCAAUGCACUUAGAGAUGAGUGUGCGUCCCAUUAGGUAGUUGGUGAGGUAACGGCUCACCAAGCCUAUGAUGGGUAGCCGGUCUGAGAGGAUGGUCGGCCACACGGGCACUGAGACACGGGCCCGACUCCUACGGGAGGCAGCAGUAAGGAAUAUUGGUCAAUGGUGGAAACACUGAACCAGCCAUGCCGCGUGGAGGAAUAAGGUCCUACGGAUUGUAAACUCCUUUUGACGAGGAAGAAAGUGUUAGAUUUAUCUAAUUUUGACGGUACUCGUAGAAUAAGCACCGGCUAACUCCGUG
rnacentral:rRNA from 1 species